rnacentral:misc_RNA from 1 species
ACGUCACCGGUUACGGUACCGACACUGGUGAGCAUAUUGGAGAAGCACUUGAAGAUGAAAGCAAAGAGGAAAAUUGUGGAUAUGCCUGGAAACGGUGACGUACCAUUCACGCACGCGAAUAUUAGCUUAGCCCGAAGAGAACUCGGAUAUAAACCGACUACUGAUUUGCAAACCGGAUUGAAGAAGUUUGUUAAAUGGUAUCUCUCGUUUUACGGCUACAAUC